CUGUGUCCGGGGGGCUGUGCUUCAGCUCUGUGGUUCCCCCCUCCUCAGGCUUGCCAGCGGGGUUCCCAGCUCUGAGACGAACCGAGAGAGGAGAGCUGCUGAGACAGAGCGAGGAGACUGAGCAGAUGGGGGGGGCGGAACCCAGCUCGCCGGGCAGUCGUGGCCGGAGGACGCAUUUCCAGGACGGACCGCGGCAGGAAGUGACGCCACAAUGGACCCCUCCGGGAAACACUGGGCUGGACGUCUCGGAGCUGAGGAGCAAACUGAGGAAGACACAGGGGGACUGAGGAAGAGCGGGAGAGACUGAGGAAGAGGAGGAGAGACUGAGGAAGACAGAAAGA